ensembl:lncRNA
UGACCUACUCAUAUUACAUGACCUAUUCAUAUUACAUGACCUAUUCAUAUUACAUGACCUAUUAACAUUACUUGAAAAAAAAAAAAAAAAAUCCACCUUCGCAGGCAGCAGAUGCAGGAGAUGUAGAAUCAAAAUGUUAUUUGGGAUAUAUUUAUUAUUUUAUUGACGAUUAUAAAAACCUAAAAUUAUCAUUGAAGUAUUUAAUCGAAGCAGCAAAACAUGAUUAUGGAGAAGCUUUUUUUUUCCUUGCUGAAAUAAUUUUAGAUAUAUCAAUAAAAAAAAAUACAUUUCCGAUUAUGUUUAUAAAAUCGUAUUUAAAUUAUAUGAACAGUCAGCUGAUUUGGGAUAUAUUCAGGCAUAUUUCAGAGAAGCACAGUUAUAUGAAAUUGGAAAGGGAGUUGAAGAGUCAUGCUUGAAUGCAACACUCUCUUACAAGUUUGUCGCCGAGAGUACUCUAUGGACUAAUAAAAUCAGACAAGGUAUGCAGUACUAUAUUGAAAAAGAUUAUUUAAAGGCAUUUUAUACUUAUGCACUUGCCGCAUAUGAAGGAUAUGAAAUUGCUCAAAAUAAUUUAAUUUAUAUUUAUAAAAAUAAUAAGUUGCAUUAUUUGAUAGAGCCUAAUAAAAUUAUGCAACUGUUGAAUUUGUUAUAUAAUCAAGGAAAUUAUAGAGCCUUAUAUGAAAUGGGUCAAAUAUAUAAUAAACAAAAAAAAGAAAACUUAGCCAUCUCUUGUUAUAAGUUAGGAUUAAGGAAAGGUGAUUUGAGAAAUUUGUUACCUUUAUCUAAAUAUUACGAAAAAAACAAAGAAAAUGCAAGGGCACUAAAAUUUGUUAACUACUUUAUAAAACAAAAGAAAAGAGAAAGGGAAUCUAGUAAUACAAAAAUUGAAAAAAUAAAAAGUGCUUUGGAAAGCUCACUUUUAUAUUUUCGCAAAUAUAAACUAUUUUUAAAAAAUUUAUUUAAUGUCAAACAAGAAAAUAAAAAUUCAUAAAUUUGAAAAAUUAAACACGUGGGUUACUAUGUACAAACAUAUGUAUAUUUGUACAUAUAUGUAUGUAAAGUAAAAAGUAAAUUGUUGUAGAAAAAAAAAAAAAAAAAAAAAAAAGUGAUUUUUCAAGCUCAUGUUUAUUAUAAACUUUGUGUUUUUUUACUUUUAAUUUACCUUAACCCCUUAUAUCUAUCUAUAUAUACGAUAUAUACGUAAGCAUGUGCUUUUGUAUACGCGUCUAUAUAUAUACAUAUUUUAAUUAAUGGCUUAUCCUUAUAUUUAAUAUAUAUAUUUUUUUUUAUUAGCUUACAUUUUUAUUUGUUUACCCCUUACCCACUAAAUACGAUUAUAUCCACUUUACUUAUUAAAUAUAAUAUUUAAUUUUUUUUAUUUUUUUAUUUUAUACACAUACAUUUUCUAAAUUUUUUAAAUUGUUACAUGUACUAUUAUUACGUGCACAGAUACAUGUACAAUGAAAUACUUUUUAUGAAAUUUCCUUUCCUUUCUUUUCUUUUUUUUUUUUUUUUUUUUUUUUUUGUUUAUACACUUAAACUUGUUUUUAUUUGUAUAAUUUUUAAUAAUAUAUAUAUAUGUAUGUACAUAUAUUUAAUGAUAAUUUUCUUUAGAAGUUUCCAUUUCAGAUGGAGCAUAAACAUAAUUAUCACUUGAAUAAUCAACCACUUGUCCAUGUUCAGUUUGUUCUUUCUGUUUUUCUGAAUUUCCGUCUAGAUCCUUUGCAAGGAUAUUUUUAUUAUUAUUUAUAUGAUUACUAUUACUAGUUGACUCAUUUAUUUUAUCAUGUAUGUUUUGGUUAUUCUCCGUUAUAUUUUCUGUUAUAUUUUCUUUUAUAUUUUCUGUU